GGCUCGGAAAGCUGGCGCGUUCCACCAAGCGCCCUCGCUCUUGGCUCUUGGGAUGGUUGAUCCCGGCUGGAAAGCAAGGUCUGGGAGUGGCCCCAAUUUUGUCAGUGGGAAGACCUUCCUCAUGCAUUCCACACACCAGAUAAGCAUCUAAUUGUUGACUGCUGAGAGGCCGGCUGUGGGUUACCUUUCAUCAGUAAUAAGAAUGAGGAGGAGGAGGAGGACGACGAUGAUAGCGCCAUUUAUCAAGAGCUGGCCACCUCGCUGAACUCAUUGCGUGCCUGUCUCUCCUGGUUCUCACAGCGACCUCAGGAGGAAAGCUCUACGCGAGUCAGGAGGCUGAGGGGCAGCGAGGCUGGGGGAAUUUGGCUCCAUUUCUGCAGCUGCCCCCCAGGACAUAGUUGUAUAUUCUAGUUCUCAGUCCUUCUGGUUGUGGCAUGUGGGAUGCCGCCUCAGCACGGCCUGAGGAGCGGUGCCAUGUCUGCACCCAGGAUCCGAACCGCUGAAACCCUGGGCCACCCAAGCGGAGCACAGGAACUUAACCACUCGGCCACCGGGCCGGCCCCCAGAGAGCUUUAAAGAGGGACUAGAAGAGAUUUAAAGAUAAACUGAGAGAAAGAGAGAGAGAGACUGGGAAAAAAACCGUAGAGAAAGGUUCUGAAGGAAGACUUAGGGAGAUGGAGAGAGGGGCUCAGUAACAUAGAUAGAUGGAUAGAUAGAUAGAUAGAUGGAUGGAUGAGAAAGACAAUUACAAAAGAGAGAGGGAGAGAGGAAGGAAGGAUUCCUGCCGUGAGUUUUAAGGGUGGCAGUCCGGGAUCCCUGUUUCCCUUGCUGCCCCUUUUUUCUCACUCCCCUUCCCCUUCCAGAUGCCUCAGUGCCCCCUACCCCCACCCCUUGGCUUUGCAGCCAGACAUCCCGAGCGCCCACCUCUCUUCCCUCAGGCCCUGGGCUGAGUCCCCCACGGAUAGUGUCCGUCCUGCAGUAAAGAGGGGACACGGCCACAGAGGGGCUGGGCUCCGAUCUGCACCUGCUCCCUGUUCCGUAACGUGGGGCCUCCUCUUGGGCUGCCGUGAGCAUUUCAGGAGAGAAUGCACGUAGAGGCAAAGACCCGGAGCCUGGCACAGAAGGCGCGUGUGAGAAUCAUUGUUUCUGCCAUGACUAUGAACAUAGUUACUGCUGUCCUGGAGUUCCCGGGAGCUGCUAGCGCAGAUGCGUAGAGAGCCCUUGCUGCAUUAGCAUCCCCUGGGAGCUUGUGAGAAGCGUAAAUUCCUGGCCCCUCCUCAGCCCAAGUGAAUCAGGAGUUGCAUUUUAACAAGAUCCCCUAGUGACUUGCGUGCACGUUCAAGUUUGAGAGGCGCCGCUAAGCGCCCGGGAGGAAGGAAUUUUCAACCCGGUGCUGGAAUCCACCAUUUGCUCUCCGGCGCCACCUUGAGGCCUGUUGAAGAAUUGACCUGGGCAAGCCGACGACGGCGUGGCGCGAAAUUUCCAGCCCCGCGUCUCUGCAGACCAGUUCUUAGGCUCACUUUGGGCAGGUUACUUGACUCCUCUGAGCCGUAGAUGCGUCAGACUCCUUACCUGUAACACCGAGAUUGCAACUCACGCACAGUGCCUGCCCCAGAGUUGGUGCUGACAAAACGUUCUACCACGUUCAGGAUGAGUCCUUGCUUCCCAGAUGGAGCCUGGACAUAAUGUAGGGAGCAGGCUACCGAAUCCAUGGUGUUAUGGCUUAAGUUGCAUCCCCCCCUCCAAAAGAUGUUGAGGUCUUAAUGCCCAGAACCUGAGAAUAUGACCUUAUUUGGAAAUAGGGUCAUUGCAGAUAUCAUUCAUUAAGCUGAGUAGAGUGGACCCUUAAUCCAACUCGCAUGGUGUCUCUAUAAGAAGAGGGAAGACCCUGUGAAGACAGACACACAGGGGGAGAAGGCCAUGUGACGACGGAAGCAGAGACUGGAGUGAUGCAGCAGCAAGCCGAGGAGUGAUGGCCACCGCCGGAAGAUGGAAGAGGCAAGGAAACAUUGUCCCCAGUCUCAGAGAGAGCACGGCCCUGCUGACACCUCCAUUUCAGAUUUCAGGCCUCCAGAACUGCGAGACAAUAAAUGUAUGAUGUUUUAAGUCACCCAGUUUGUGAUACUUUGUUACAGCAGCCUUCGCAAAUGCACACACAUGGGAAGGCUCAUCUUCUAUGUAAGUUAGAUGUGGGCACUAGAAUAUCUCAGGGUCCCUUUCCUCUAGAGGAAGAAAUUAAACAUGUCUCCUUUACAACAGAGGAUAUACUAAUGGCCGAUAAGUGCAUGAAAAGAUGCUCGACAUUAUCAGUCAUGAGAGAAAUGCAGCUUAAAACCGCAGUCAGACACUACUAUACACCCAUCAGAUUGGCCAAAAAUAAUGUCUUAUAUCCCCCAAACUCCAAAAUAUAGCAGAGAUGUCGAACAACCAGAACUCCCGUACGUUGUUGGUGGGAGCGUAAAACGGUGUAACCACUUUGGAAAAAGGUCUGGGAGUUUCUUAUAGUACUAAACACGGUCUGCUCUAUGCCCAGGAAUCCCACUCAUGGGUAUUUCCCCAAGAGAAGCGAAAGCCCACGUCCACUCAGACUUUUACAGAGGUGUUCAUGGCAGCCCCAACCUGGAAGCAGCCGAGGUGUCCGUCAACCAGAGAAAGGACAAACCAACGGUGGUGCGUUCAGAUACUGGGAGGUGCCUCUGUCAUUAC
ensembl:lncRNA